rnacentral:rRNA from 1 species
UACAGGGGGGGCAAGCGUUGUUCGGAAUUACUGGGCGUAAAGGGCUCGUAGGCGGCCAACUAAGUCACACGUGAAAUCCCCGGGCUUAACCUGGGAACUGCGUGUGAUACUGGAUGGCUUGAAUCCGGGAGAGGGAUGCGGAAUUCCAGGUGUAGCGGUGAAAUGCGUAGAUAUCUGGAGGAACACCGGUGGCGAAGGCGGCAUCCUGGACCGGUAUUGACGCUGAUGAGCGAAAGCCAGGGGAGCAAACGGG